rnacentral:rRNA from 1 species
AAGGUUGACCUCGGAUCAGGUAGGAAUACCCGCUGAACUUAAGCAUAUCAAUAAGCGGAGGAAAAGAAACCAACAGGGAUUGCCUUAGUAGCGGCGAGCGAAGCGGCAACAGCUCAAAUUUGAAAUCUGGCUACUUUGUAGUCCGAGUUGUAAUUUGCAGAGGAUGCUUUUGGUGAGGUGCCUUCCGAGUUCCCUGGAACGGGACGCCAGAGAGGGUGAGAGCCCCGUACGGUUGGACACCAAGCCUUUGUAUAGCUCCUUCAACG